rnacentral:misc_RNA from 1 species
GAUGAAGAACGCAGCGAAAUGCGAUAAGUAAUGCGAAUUGCAGAAUUCCGUGAGUCAUCGAAUCUUUGAACGCACAUUGCGCCCUCUGGUAUUCCGGAGGGCAUGCCUGUCUGAGCGUCAUUGUCAACCCUCAAGCUCAGCUUGCUGUUGGGUCCCCGUCGUUGCUUUAACGGCGGACCCGAAAGGUAAUGGCAGAGUCCGUGAGACCCUAGACGCAGCGAGCUUCUAGCACGCGUCUGGACGUUUUUCGGGCUCGGUCUUAACUAGAUGAUAACUUCCGAUUGACCUCAGAUCAGGUAGGACUACCCGCUGAACUUAAGCAUAUCAAUAAGCGGAGGA